AUGUCCGGCUUGCUGAAUUCAAAUCUUAACAGUUCCACAUCGAACCUUCCAGACUCAACCGGACGGCCAUUCACAACAUCCUUUUCUGGCCAAUCUGGAUCAGUUCAAGGUUUCCAUCACUCUGGUCUGCACAACAUUCAUGGAAAUUAUAGUCUUCCAAAUAUGCCUGGAUCACUUGCACAAAGGAAUGCUGCGAUGAGUGGCCUUCCAUCCUCCGGUGUUCAACAGCCUGGAGGGAGCAUUUCUGGGAGAUUUGCUUCAAACAACCUCCCUGUUGCCAUGUCUCAGAUUCCUCAUGCACAUUCAGGUGUCAGUGGUAGAGGAAUGAAUGUUGGUGGAGGUCAAGCAUUCAGCAGUGGAAUGAACAUGGGUGGUACCAUUCAAGGUUUAUCCUCAAACUUGGGCACCAGUGGUAAUCGAAAUUCUGUUCCUGGCAAUCCAGCUUUAGGAAACCUGGGUCCACGUAUUACAAGCUCCACGGGAAACAUUGUGGGUGGAAGUAACAUUGGAAGAAACAUAAGCUCUGGUGGAUUGUCGGUGCCAAGUAUCUCAUCACGCAUCGAUUUUAGUGGCAAUGCUGCAAGUGGAAGACUAAAUGUGCAAGGAUCUAACAGGAUGAUGAAUGGCCUUAUUCCGCAAGGAUCGUCGCAACUGAUGAAUAUGAUUGGAAGCUCAUACCCAACGUCUGGUGCUUCAUUGUCCCAGAACCAAAUGCAACCAGUAAAUAGUUCUUUGGGUUCUAUAGGGAUGCUACAUGACGCCAGUGACAGCGCUCCAUUCGACAUCAAUGAUUUCCCCCAAUUGACUGGUCGACCUAAUUCAGCUGGUGGUCCACAGGGACAAUAUGGAUCACUACGGAAGCAAGGAGUUGGUGUUAACUCCAUUGUUCAACAAAACCAGGAGUUCAGUAUUCAGAACGAAGAUUUCCCCGCUUUGCCAGGAUUUAAAGGUGGCAGUUCAGAUUAUCCUAUGGAGUUACAUCACAAGGAACAGCUUCAUGAGAAUGUGCCUGUAAUGCAAGCACCACAAUAUCCUAUGUCAAGGUCAGUUGGGUUUAAUUUGGGAAGUAAUUACCAACCAAAUCGUCAGCAACAUCAGCAGGGUGCUGCUAAUUCAAUUCAGAGCGGUGGGCCCCAAAAUAUUGGACUAAGACCACUAAACUCUCAGAGUCAAACUUCUAGCUUGGGAUCAUACGAGCAACUGCUCCAGCAAUACCAGCAGCCGCAGACUCAGAGUCCUUUCAGGUUGCAGCAGAUGUCUUCUUCAGCUGCACAGACAUAUGCGGAUCAUGGUCUAAAGCCCAUUCUGGGAGGCCGAACCCCACCUGAUCCAUACGGCUUGUUAGGAUUGCUGGGAGUUAUAAGGAUGAAUGAUCCUGAUUUGUCAUCUCUUGCUUUGGGAAUAGAUUUGACAACGUUGGGUUUGAAUUUGAAUUCACCCGACAAUCUGUACAAGACAUUUGGCUCUCCAUUUUCAAAUGAACCAGCAAAAGGAGAACCCGAAUAUACUACUCCAGCUUGUUAUGUGGCUGAGCAACCCCCAGCACUACAGCCUAUGCAUUUUCAGAAGUUUCAGACACUCAUACUGUUAUACAUAUUCUACAGCAUGCCGAAGGAUGAAGCUCAAAUAUGUGCGGCCAAUGAACUAUAUAAUCGUGGAUGGUAUUACCAUAAAGAAGCACGGCAAUGGUUCACAAGAAUUCCUAACAUGGAGCCUCUUGUCAAAACUCCUACAUAUGAACGGGGGUCUUAUGCCUUCUUUGAUCAAGGCAAUUGGGAGACAGUCCGUAAGGAUAACUUUGUUCUCCAUUAUGAGCUAGUAGAGAAAAGGCCAAGUCUCCCUUCCGCAUCCCAAAUUGUUAGGUACCUCCUGACUCUAGCUUUCUUGUACAUGAAUAGGGAGCUUUCUUUACAAACAUAG
rnacentral:rRNA from 1 species